rnacentral:rRNA from 1 species
UACGUAGGGUGCGAGCGUUGUCCGGAUUUAUUGGGUUUAAAGGGUGCGUAGGCGGCCAGAUAAGUCAGUGUUAAAAUUUUGCAGCUCAACUGUAGGUAUGGCAUUGAUACUGUUUGGCUUGAAUGUCAUGGAGGUAGCUGGAAUUUAUGGUGUAGCGGUGAAAUGCAUAGAUACCAUAAGGAACACCGAUAGCGGAGGCAUGUUACCACGUGAUAAUUGACGCUGAGGCACGAAAGUGUGGGGAUCAAACAGG